GCUAUUGGUGAUGAAGAACUAGUCUCAUAUAUUCUGGCGCGAUUUGAUGAAGAAUUCAAUCCAGUUGCCUCAGCCAUUGUUGCUCAUGUGGAGUCUGUCUCAGUUGGGGAUGUCCAUUCUCAGCUUUGAUA
rnacentral:snoRNA from 1 species